rnacentral:lncRNA from 1 species
UCAACGGUUCAGGCAAGUUUGUAUUUACUUAACUCUACUAAGAGUGUUUUAUUCAAGCUUAUGGUUAAAUCAUUGUUGAUUGCCAUGAAAAUUGUACUCUGUACAUCUUGCAUGUAUAAGUCAGGUAUGAAAGGCUGAUCACCUUCAUUACCGGUUUGUCCAGAAAUGUUUGUUCAUGUUUAAAACUUGUUCAGUCAAAAGUUUGUUCCUGCUAGUUCUCAAUUAUAUUGAUGAAUUAUAGCCAGCUUAUUAUUCAUACUCUUCAAUCAUGAUAUAUCCUUAUAUUGUUGUAUUUAAACUUGUUGG